AAGUUUGAUCCUGGCUCAGAGCGAACGCUGGCGGCGUACUUAACACAUGCAAGUCGAACGGGGAUCAUCGUGUGAGCAAUCACGGGGUGGUCCUAGUGGCGCACGGGUGAGUAACACGUGGGUAACCUGCCCUCGAGAUCGGGAUACCCCCUCGAAAGGGGGGCUAAUACCGGAUACGCUCCUCGGGUCGAAAGAUCUGGGAAGGAAAGGUGGCGCAAGCUGCCGCUCUUGGAGGGGCUCGCGGCCUAUCAGCUAGUUGGCGGGGUAACGGCCCACCAAGGCUAUGACGGGUAGCUGGUCUGAGAGGACGACCAGCCACACGGGGACUGAGACACGGCCCCGACUCCUACGGGAGGCAGCAGUGGGGAAUUUUCCGCAAUGGGCGAAAGCCUGACGGAGUGACGCCGCGUGUGGGAUGAAGGCCUUCGGGUCGUAAACCACUGUCAGUGGGAAAGAUGGGUGUCGGCGCGAUAACCGCCGGCAUCUGACGGUACCUGCAGAGGAAGCCCCGGCUAACUCUGUGCCAGCAGCCGCGGUAAGACAGAGGGGGCAAGCGUUGCUCGGAAUUACUGGGCGUAAAGGGCGCGUAGGCGGGAUGGCAAGUCGGUCGUGAAAUCCCUCGGCUCAACCGAGGAGCGUCGAUCGAUACUGCCGUUCUUGAGGGUUGCGGAGGAGACUGGAAUUCCCGGUGUAGCGGUGAAAUGUGUAGAGAUCGGGAGGAACACCGGUGGCGAAGGCGGGUCUCUGGGCAACUCCUGACGCUGAGGCGCGAAAGCGUGGGGAGCAAACGGGAUUAGAUACCCCGGUAGUCCACGCUGUAAACGAUGACGACUAGGUGUGGGGGGGUUCAGUCCCCUCCGUGCCGCAGCUAACGCAUUAAGUCGUCCGCCUGGGGAGUACGGCCGCAAGGUUGAAACUCAAAGGAAUUGACG
rnacentral:rRNA from 1 species